rnacentral:rRNA from 1 species
UACAGAGGGUGCAAGCGUUGUUCGGAAUUAUUGGGCGUAAAGAGCUUGUAGGCGGUUUGUCGCGUCUGCCGUGAAAAUCCGGGGCUCAACCCCGGACUUGCGGUGGGUACGGGCAGACUAGAGUGUGGUAGGGGAGACUGGAAUUCCUGGUGUAGCGGUGAAAUGCGCAGAUAUCAGGAGGAACACCGAUGGCGAAGGCAGGUCUCUGGGCCACUACUGACGCUGAGGUGCGAAAGCGUGGGGAGCAAACAGG